rnacentral:misc_RNA from 1 species
AGUAUCCUAAUAAAUUCUGACAUUAUUAAUUAACUUUGUAGCAUUAGAAAGGAGCAGUACAACGAUGAGUAGCUUCUAUGAAUGAGAAUAAACAAUAACAUUACAAGAAAAAUUUAAAAGAUCCGUUCUCAAACGUAUACAACAUCACCCUCUGGACCAUGAUUGAUAUACAAACAUUUGCAUGAAAACUAAUUAACAAAGCAAACCAAACUCCCCACCCCAAAUAACUUUCCUAUUUCUCUGAUCUCUUAUGUUUGACAUUCUCAAGCAUUAUAUCUCUUGAAUGUUGAUUUUAUUCAUUAAAAUGCAAAUAAUUUUCAUGGCUACAUACACCCAAAAGGAACUGUUGAAUUUAAUGUUUUGGUCUAUGAGUGAGGGAUCUUAGGUGGGAGUGGUGGGAAUAGAGGAUGGUGGAAUGGAGGAAUUUUAGGGAAUGGUGUAAGUGGUGGGCAUGGCUUUUUGUA